AACUUACAAUAGGACCAUAAAGCGUUUCCCCCAAUCAGACUGGAUGGGAGGCAGCUGAGAAAUGAACAUAUUACUGAAGAGGUUAGGUAGUGACAGAUACCUGAUGCCAGUUUCAUCAGUCAGCUGAUUGCAGAAGCCAUCACACGAAGCAUCGGGGAGUGCUGACGUUCCGGUUGUGGGUGACGUCGGGUCCGGGGACCGACACCUAUGGAACCGGGGGUGCCUAAGCCAGCUCGUCGGUCUGUCACGCCCUAGCUGGCUCGAGAGGUUCCUUGCCCCGUUUGGCUCAGAAGGCCAACCGGGGCCUCAGCCGUAUCGUCAGGUUUUUACGCCCAGUCGGCUCGUCAGGCUGCUACGCCUCCGCCGGAUCGACAGGCCUUCAUGCCUCAGCCAGCACGCCAGGCUCUCACGCCUCUGCCGGUUCGUCGGGGUUUCACGCCCAGCGCCUGUGCCUCGGUCGGCCCGUAAGUUGGGUGCUCCUGUGGGGGUGGUACUGUCACACCUGCCUUCUCCCCAUCAUGUGCAUCAUCUAUUAUUGGGCUCACCUGGACUCAAUCACCUCUGUCAUUACCUUCCCUAUAUCUGUCGGGUUCCUCGCUCUGUUCCCUGCUUCUGCAUUCAUGUUUGUAAAGCUAACAUGCUGACCGCAAAAUAAAUUUACACAUACACGUUAUUCGAUAAUUUCACCCACACUGCUCGUGCGCGUCAAUGAGCGUCUGAGUAGCCAGCCGCUAAAAUAUAACUUGGUUCUAUUUGUGACACUUGACUCGCUGCAAGUCCCGCCUCUCCCUCAUUGGUUUAUAGGAGCAUAUACCCAUGUGGGUGAUUGAAAGAUGAACGGUCCACAUUCCAGUCCAGUUGGUAGUGGUAAUGCACCUUAAAGCUGGUUGCCAAACGCCAUAUAGUCCAAAGAAGGAGAAGCCUGAAGGAGGAGAGAUUACUAGAAACAAACCUUUAACCUUUUAUCUGUGGAUGAACUGUCAGAGUAGAGGACCUUGUGCAUUUCAGGUAAAAUAAUAACCCAAUGUUUAUGUCCCAGGACAAGUUGAAUGGCUGUGAUAGGCGAAAACUAGGAUGGAUAAACAGCAUUGUA